rnacentral:rRNA from 1 species
GACGAACGCUGGCGGCGUGCUUAACACAUGCAAGUCGAACGGAAAGGCCCUGCUUUUGUGGGGUGCUCGAGUGGCGAACGGGUGAGUAACACGUGAGUAACCUGCCCUGGACUGUGGGAUAACUUCAGGAAACUGGGGCUAAUACCGGAUAGGAGCUCCUGCUGCAUGGUGGGGGUUGGAAAGUUUCGGCGGUUGGGGAUGGACUCGCGGCUUAUCAGCUGGUUGGUGGGGUAGUGGCUUACCAAGGCUUUGACGGGUAGCCGGCCUGAGAGGGUGACCGGCCACCUUGGGACUGCGGUACGGCCCAGACUCCUACGGGAGGCAGCAGUGGGGAAUAUUGCACACUGGGCGGAAGCCUGAUGCAGCACCGCCGCGUGCGGGAUGACGGCCUUCGGGUUGUAAACCGCUUUCGCCUGUGACGAAGCGUGAGUGACGGUAAUGGGUAAAGAAGCACCGGCUAACUACGUG